rnacentral:rRNA from 1 species
UGCAGUCGACGAUGAUCUCCAGCUUGCUGGGGGGAUUAGUGGCGAACGGGUGAGUAACACGUGAGUAACCUGCCCUUAACUCUGGGAUAAGCCUGGGAAACUGGGUCUAAUACCGGAUAUGACUCCUCAUCGCAUGGUGGGGGGUGGAAAGCUUUUGUGGUUUUGGAUGGACUCGCGGCCUAUCAGCUUGUUGGUGAGGUAAUGGCUCACCAAGGCGACGACGGGUAGCCGGCCUGAGAGGGUGACCGGCCACACUGGGACUGAGACACGGCCCAGACUCCUACGGGAGGCAGCAGUGGGGAAUAUUGCACAAUGGGCGCAAGCCUGAUGCAGCGACGCCGCGUGAGGGAUGACGGCCUUCGGGUUGUAAACCUCUUUCAGUAGGGAAGAAGCGAAAGUGACGGUACCUGCAGAAGAAGCGCCGGCUAACUACGUGCCAGCAGCCGCGGUAAUACGUAGGGCGCAAGCGUUAUCCGGAAUUAUUGGGCGUAAAGAGCUCGUAGGCGGUUUGUCGCGUCUGCCGUGAAAGUCCGGGGCUCAACUCCGGAUCUGCGGUGGGUACGGGCAGACUAGAGUGAUGUAGGGGAGACUGGAAUUCCUGGUGUAGCGGUGAAAUGCGCAGAUAUCAGGAGGAACACCGAUGGCGAAGGCAGGUCUCUGGGCAUUAACUGACGCUGAGGAGCGAAAGCAUGGGGAGCGAACAGGAUUAGA